CGUCCUAUUAGCUAGUUGGUGAGGUAAUGGCUCACCAAGGCUACGAUGGGUAGGGGUUCUUAGUGGAAGGUCCCCCACACUGGCACUGAGAUACGGGCCAGACUCCUACGGGAGGCAGCAGUAGGGAAUAUUGGUCAAUGGGCGCAAGCCUGAACCAGCCAUGCCGCGUGCAGGAUGAAGGCUCUCUGAGUUGUAAACUGCUUUUGUACAGGAGCAAAAAAAUCCCUGCGGGGGUUCUUGAGAGUACUGUAAGAAUAAGCACCGGCUAAUUCCGUGCCAGCAGCCGCGGUAAUACGGGAGGUGCAAGCGUUAUCCGGUUUUAUUGGGUUUAAAGGGUGCGUGGGCGGCUUAUUAAGUCAGUUGUGAAAUCCUAGUGCUUAACGCUAGAACUGCGAUUGAUACUAUU
rnacentral:rRNA from 1 species